rnacentral:rRNA from 1 species
CGAAUUGCGAUAUGUACUGUGAAUUGCGGAAUUCAGUGAAUCAUCGAAUCUUUGAACGCACCUUGCG